rnacentral:rRNA from 1 species
AACGAACGCUGGCGGCAGGCCUAACACAUGCAAGUCGAGCGCUCCGCAAGGGGAGUGGCGCACGGGUGAGUAACACGUGGGAACCUACCUUCUGGUACGGAACAACCAAGGGAAACUUUGGCUAAGACCGUAUACGACCUCCGGGUGAAAGAUUGAUCGCCGGAAGAGGGGCCCGCGUCCGAUUAGGUAGUUGGUGAGGUAACGGCUCACCAAGCCUUCGAUCGGUAGCUGGUCUGAGAGGAUGACCAGCCACACUGGGACUGAGACACGGCCCAGACUCCUACGGGAGGCAGCAGUGGGGAAUAUUGGACAAUGGGCGCAAGCCUGAUCCAGCCAUGCCGCGUGAGUGAUGAAGGCCUUC